UGAAUAUUUAUAGAUUGAUAAAAUUAUUUUUGAUAUUGACCCAGGGUUGAUUAUCAGGCUUGUUUUAUACAGGCCAGGUUUCUGUUUCAGAUCCUGUUCCAAAUCCUGGAUUCUGAUUGUCUGUUGCCCAGUGGACCAGACUGGUGAGCUAACCAAACAUCGACUCGCGAGAAACGUCACAUCCUGUCAACUCCUUCCAAUCUGGCAAGAGAAAAAGCAAAUGGAGCAGACUGAGGCAAAAUCAGAAACAGAGAGAGAGAGAAAAAAUGAAAAACAGGAUCAAACAGCCUGGCUGGCAAUGAACUUGGAACUGGAGAGCUGGAGCACAUGGCAACAAAGACAUCUUGGCAAAGAGCACUGGCUAUGUACUGAUAGCAAAAUAGAAAUGCAUUCAUAAAAAAAAGAAAAAGUCUCCUUUGUUUGUUCUGAGACUUUUUUUGUUUUUUCUUUUUUUUUUUUCUUACUUCCGUACAACCCUCAAAAAUCAAACAGUGGUUAGCUGAUCCAUGGCCUGGACCAAGCUGUAAUUUUCUAAUCAGUUAACCAACUUCAAAACGAUGCCUCCCACUUAUUGUUUAACCGAGAAGCUUUUCAGUGUGCAGACCACACAAUAUGCAAAGGUUCUCUCAAAUAAAUGUGAUGCUGUGUUCCUAUUAUCAUUCAUUUGACAUUUGCCUUGCAUCACAGAAAUAUUGCUUGCAGAUAUGUACAGACAGAGACAUAUACUGCCAUAAUCAUGUCUGUGCACAGCACAGGGUAGUUUUGUUUCACUCACUGGUAUUAAUUUUCAUCCUGUAUCCUGUUGUUUAUGCUUUGGAGAGAAUUGAUUGGUGGACUCUGUGAUCUAUUAAAAAAACAAAACAAAAAAA